UCUCUCCAAGUUAUUUUUUGCAAGGUCUGCUCCAUCUCCAAUAAAGGAGUUUGUAGUCGUCUGAGAUCUACAAUCAAUAGUUUGUGAAGAAAGUUCAAGUGAUAUUGAAGAAGCUUACUUUCCAAAUAUUUCUCUAUUUCCUCAGUAAAAUUGCUUCUAGGCUAUAAGAGGAGAGAAAAAGAUGGGAAUCCCACAAAAGAAGCAACCAAGAUGCCUCGAUGUCAAGGAGAAUUGAAUGAGAAUAUAUGGGGAUCAACCUCAUACUUCAUUCUAAAAUUUCCUGUUCCUACACUUGUGCCAAGAUAUUUAAGCCCUUUAAUCUCUUUCAAAAUCAAUAUCCGGAACACUAUUUUGUCAUUUCACCCCUUGAUCCCCCCCCCUCUUCUCUAAUAUCAUUCAUUCUCUCUCUUUGUUACCUAUGAUAACUUUCACUGCAUGUUAUAUAGCGUACAGUAGCGUCUCCCUGUGUUUAUCCUUUUUCUUCUUAAAUAAAUGGCAAAUAUGUCAUUUCAUGGAAGGAGAAAAAAACUAUUCUCCAACUGAACCCUCAGCAAACCACCCUCCCUCUUGAGCUUGUGCUGGAAAACCCAGUGAUGGAAUUCCUAAUGAGGAAGGUGAUGAGCGUAUGAGAGGAAAGCAGGAGAAAGAGGAACUGAAUGAGGGCAUGACAUGGGUCCAUGAAGGUAUCGAAGAAACAAGGACAUGGUGUUCCGUUCAAGCAUGGCCUCACUUUUAAAGGAAACAUGGACAUGAACCAGGAAAGUUCGAGGUUCGAAGGAGUUGAAGGAACUCAUUGGAAAUGAUCAAUAGCAUGUUGAUGACCCCAAAACAUGUUCAUCCGAUGGCCUUCAUCAACAUUAUCAUCCCGUUUGCUCGACUGUAGAACACGUUAGCUAGGCUGUAGAACAAAGAACCCAUAUGUAAUGUGUGUAAGAAAAGAAAGAAAAAAAAAAAAAUGGAAAUGGUGAGAUCAGAGUCUGUAGAAUUCUGGGUCUUGUUUCUUGAAUUCUAGAAUCAUCGAAACAGAAGAGUAAACAAACAAAACGUCUCAGUACGGAACAACAUUUUCUAUUGUUUGAAA